GGGCUCCGAGACCGGGAUUGAUUCGGGGCAAAUGAUUGAUGGACCAAGACAGUGUAAUAUUUCCUCAGUACAAAGCCGCGUGUGACCAGCUGCUUCUAACAACCAGCAGGGGAUGUCUCUUCUCUCAUUCUGCAGACAAUUACAUGAAGGAGCAAGACAGUAUAACAUUCUCUCGGUACGAAGCCAAGUGUGAUCAGUUCCUUCCAAUUAACAGCAGGGAAUUGGAAGAUGAUUUGCAAUGAGGAGACAUAAAACCAAGCAUCACUUCCCAAUUUGACCAAGCUGCCGAGUUUAUUGCCACCUGAAUAUCAUUGGGUUUUGAAGGAAAAAGCACCGUUCACAGUGGGGAGAGAAACCGUACGUGUGUUGUACACGUGGACAAGUCUUCAGCAGAUCAUUGCCCGUCACGAUAUAAAUACAGCCACACUGGGGAAAGGCCAUUCAUCUGUUCCAAGGGUGGGAAAGGAUUCACUCGAUCAUCCACCUUGCUGAAACCCGAGCAAGUUCACACAGAGGACAGACCUUUGAAAUGCUCAGAAUGUGGGAGGUGUUUUAAAAACUCUGGGGCACAGUAAUCCCAACAACAUCCUCACAGUGACGAGAGACCCUUCAUGUGCUCUCACUGUGGGUAUGGGUUCAAGCCAUCAUCCAACCUCAUUAAACACCAGCGGAUCCACACUGGGGAGAGACCAUUCACCUGAUCACUCAGGAAAGGAUUUUCUCAUAAAUCCAACCUGUUAAAACACCAGCGAUCUCUCGGAAGGUAGAGACUGUUCUGAUUUGACUGUGGGCAGAGAUUCAUUGUGAAAUCCAAGCUGCUGAAACACCAGCAUAUUCAUGAGAAAUGACAGUGCCUGGUUUUUACUGUGAACAUCUCCCUCCUUCAUAGUCUCAGCCAGAAGAUUUUGUUUCAAUUCCCACCUGAUAUGGAGCUAUGUCAAAGAACUUAAUUAGUUUUGUAAUUGAUAACUGAAUGAUAUCCACGGGGCAGGUUUCUACUGAAGUUAAUGAACUUCUGCUCAGUUAAAGGGAUGACUGUUCUGGAUGACAGUGAAAUAAAUGCACUGUGUGUUAAACACACUGUAUCAAACCUAUUUCUGAUUUCUAAGUGCUCAUUGAAGUAAUCUCCCUCUGAUUGUGUUAUGGAAGAAUCACUCAAUGUUUUAUAAAAAAUGACCAGGAGACACAGAAAAUCCUUCAUGAAAUUAAACUUUAAUCUUGCAAAAUCAAAGCUGUGGGAGCCAGCUAAAUGUCUUCUCUGGCUCUCCACAGGCUCUUUAUUUUCCUGCAAUUUAUACAGUUGUUCUUCCCGCGCUUAUCAGAUAACAUUAGCAUAACCAAUCAUGCUGGCUUGCUUUAUUUUUCUAAACUAAUCACCGUCUGCCACACUGCCUCAAUCACACUUAACCUGUCACAUUACAACUUCAUUGUUUUCAGUAUUAGCUCAUGUACCAGUGAUUCAGCUAACCUAUCAUUAUCUGUUACUGGAGCCCUGUAAUACAAUGCCAAGCAUGCAUUACAACACCAAGAUAACUACAUAACUGCCAGAGUAACUUCCAUAACUGAAGGAGUUGGAAUUUGCUGUUGAUCACAUCCAGCAUCCAAUUUGAUUCUUUGUAGAGUUUCUCAAUUGACUGUGUGGAAAUUC